GAUGAACGCUGGCGGCGUGCUUAACACAUGCAAGUCGAACGGAAAGGCUCCUGCUUGCAGGGGUACUCGAGUGGCGAACGGGUGAGUAACACGUGGGUGAUCUGCCCUGCACUUCGGGAUAAGCCUGGGAAACUGGGUCUAAUACCGGAUAGAACGAUGGUUUGGAUGCCAUUGUGGAAAGUUUUUCGGUGUGGGAUGAGCUCGCGGCCUAUCAGCUUGUUGGUGGGGUAAUGGCCUACCAAGGCGUCGACGGGUAGCCGGCCUGAGAGGGUGUACGGCCACAUUGGGACUGAGAUACGGCCCAGACUCCUACGGGAGGCAGCAGUGGGGAAUAUUGCACAAUGGGCGCAAGCCUGAUGCAGCGACGCCGCGUGGGGGAUGACGGCCUUCGGGUUGUAAACUCCUUUCGCUAGGGACGAAGCGCAAGUGACGGUACCUGGAGAAGAAGCACCGGCUAACUACGUG
rnacentral:rRNA from 1 species